AACAGUUUUAUUGGGGUUGAAUAAGGUCUGAGGUGAGGGAGAAAGAGAACAGUUUUAUUGGGGUUAAAUAAGAUCUGGAGGGAGAGAGAGAACAGUUUUAUUGGGGUUGAAUAAGGUCUGAGGUGAGGGAGAAAGAGAACAGUUUUAUUGGGGUUGAAUAAGGUCUGAGGUGAGGGAGAAAGAGGACAGUUGUAUUGGGGUUGAAUAAGGUCUGAGGUGAGGGAGAAAGAGAACAGUUUUAUUGCGGUUGAAUAAGGUCUGAGGUGAGGGAGAAAGAGGACAGUUGUAUUGGGGUUGAAUAAGGUCUGAGGUGAGGGAGAAAGAGAACAGUUUUAUUGGGGUUGAAUAAGGUCUGAGGUGAGGGAGAAAGAGAACAGUUUUAUUGGGGUUAAAUAAGGUCUGAGGUGAGGGAGAAAGAGAACAGUUGUAUUGGGGUUGAAUAAGGUCUGAGGGAGAAAGAGACCAGUUUUAUUGGGGUUAAAUAAGGUCUGAGGUGAGGGAGAACAGUUGUAUUGGGGUUGAAUAAGGUCUGAGGUGAGGGAGAAAGAGACCAGUUGUAUUGGGGUUGAAUAAGGUCUGAGGUGAGGGAGAAAGAGACCAGUUGUAUUGGGGUUAAAUAUGAUCUGAGGGAGAAAGAGAACAGUUG